rnacentral:rRNA from 1 species
GAUGAACGCUGGCGGCGUGCCUAAUACAUGCCAGUCGAGCGAACAGACGAGGAGCUUGCUCCUCUGACGUUAGCGGCGGACGGGUGAGUAACACGUGGAUAACCUACCUAUAAGACUGGGAUAACUUCGGGAAACCGGAGCUAAUACCGGAUAAUAUAUUGAACCGCAUGGUUCAAUAGUGAAAGACGGUUUUGCUGUCACUUAUAGAUGGAUCCGCGCCGCAUUAGCUAGUUGGUAAGGUAACGGCUUACCAAGGCAACGAUGCGUAGCCGACCUGAGAGGGUGAUCGGCCACACUGGAACUGAGACACGGUCCAGACUCCUACGGGAGGCAGCAGUAGGGAAUCUUCCGCAAUGGGCGAAAGCCUGACGGAGCAACGCCGCGUGAGUGAUGAAGGUCUUCGGAUCGUAAAACUCUGUUAUUAGGGAAGAACAAAUGUCUAAGUAACUAUGCACGUCUUGACGGUACCUAAUCAGAAAGCCACGGCUAACUACGUG